rnacentral:rRNA from 1 species
GAUGAACGCUGGCGGCGUGCCUAACACAUGCAAGUCGAGCGAACAGAUGAGGAGCUUGCUCCUCUGACGUUAGCGGCGGACGGGUGAGUAACACGUGGAUAACCUACCUAUAAGACUGGGAUAACUUCGGGAAACCGGAGCUAAUACCGGAUAAUAUAUUGAACCGCAUGGUUCAAUAGUGAAAGACGGUUUUGCUGUCACUUAUAGAUGGAUCCGCGCCGCAUUAGCUAGUUGGUAAGGUAACGGCUUACCAAGGCAACGAUGCGUAGCCGACCUGAGAGGGUGAUCGGCCACACUGGAACUGAGACACGGUCCAGACUCCUACGGGGGGCAGCAGUAGGGAAUCUUCCGCAAUGGGCGAAAGCCUGACGGAGCAACGCCGCGUGAGUGAUGAAGGUCUUCGGAUCGUAAAACUCUGUUAUUAGGGAAGAACAAAUGUGUAAGUAACUAUGCACGUCUUGACGGUACCUAAUCAGAAAGCCACGGCUAACUACGUG